GCGAUCGGUGGAUGCCUUGGCACCAAGAGCCGAUGAAGGACGUUGUGACCUGCGAUAAGCCCUGGGGAGUUGGUGAGCGAGCUGUGAUCCGGGGGUGUCCGAAUGGGGAAACCUGGAAUGUCCGGAGUAGUGUCCGGUGGCCCUGCCCUGAAUGUAUAGGGGUGUGGGUGGUAACGCGGGGAAGUGAAACAUCUUAGUACCCGUAGGAAGAGAAAACAAGUGUGAUUCCGUGAGUAGUGGCGAGCGAAAGCGGAGGAGGCUAAACCGUGUGUGUGUUCAAGCCGGCAGGUGUUGCAUGUGCGGGGUUGUGGGGGCCUUGUGGUUCUGCUGCCGCAGGAUUGGCCAGUGAGAAAUGUUGCGUGAAGGUGAAGCGUCUGGGAAGGCGUACCGGAGUGGGUGAGAGUCCUGUAACUGUAAGCGUGGCACUGGUGUGGGGUUGCCCCGAGUAGCGUGGGACUCGUGGAAUUUCGCGUGAAUCUGGCGGGACCACCCGUCAAGCCUAAAUACUCCUUGGUGACCGAUAGUGGAUGAGUACCGUGAGGGAAGGGUGAAAAGUACCCCGGGAGGGGAGUGAAAGAGUUCCUGAAACCGGUCGCAUGCAAGCCGUCAGAGCCUGUGUGGUGAUGGCGUGCCUUUUGAAGAAUGAGCCUGCGAGUUAGUGAUGCGUGGCGAGGUUAACCCGUGGUGGGGGAGUCGUAGCGAAAGCGAGUCCGAUAAGGGCGUGAGUCGCGUGUUCUAGACCCGAAGCGGUGUGAUCUAUCCAUGGCCAGGAUGAAGCGUCGGUAAGACGUCGUGGAGGUCCGAACCCACUUCAGUUAAAAAUGGAGGGGAUGAGUUGUGGAUAGGGGUGAAAGGCCAAUCAAACACCGUGAUAGCUGGUUCUCCCCGAAAUGCAUUUAGGUGCAGCGUUGCGUGGUUCUUGUUGGAGGUAGAGCACUGGAUGGUCUAGGGGGCUUAUCGGCUUACCGAAAUCAGCCAAACUCCGAAUGCUGGCAAGCGUAGCGUGGCAGUGAGACGGCGGGGGAUAAGCUUCGUCGUCGAGAGGGAAACAGCCCAGAUCAUCAGCUAAGGCCCCUAAGUGGUGACUCAGUGGGAAAGGAUGUGGAGUUGCGUAGACAACCAGGAGGUUGGCUUGGAAGCAGCCAUCCUUGAAAGAGUGCGUAAUAGCUCACUGGUCAAGUGAUUCCGCGCCGAUAAUGUAGCGGGGCUUAAGUUAUCCGCCGAAGCUGUGGCAACCUGUGUGGUUGGGUAGGGGAGCGUCGUGUCAGUGGUGAAGCUGCCGGGUGACUGUGUGGUGGAGUUGAUGCGAGUGAGAAUGCAGGCAUGAGUAGCGUGUGACGGGUGGGAAUCCCGUCCGCCGAUUAUCCAAGGGUUCCAGGGUCAAGUUUGUCUGCCCUGGGUGAGUCGGGUCCUAAGGCGAGGCCGACAGGCGUAGUCGAUGGGUAACCAGUUGAUAUUCUGGUACCGGCUUGUCACCGUCCGUGUCGAGGUGUGUGAUGCUAAGCAUGUGAGCUUGUCUUGGGAGUGUUUUUGAUGCUUCUGGGGUGGGUGAGUGUGUGAACCGAUCAUGUAGUAGGCAAGCUGCGGAGGGACGCAGUGAGGUAGCUCAUCCCCGGUGAUGGUUGUCCGGGGCUAAGUGUGUGGACUGUCUGGUAGGUAAAUCCGCUGGGCGUGAAGGUUGAGGCAUGAUGGGGAGCCCACGGUUGUGGGUGAGUGAGUGAUCCUGUACUGUCGAGAAAAGCUUCGUGAGCGAGGUGGCGGGUCCGCCCGUACCCUAAACCGACACUGGUGGAUAGGUAGAGUAUACCGAGGCGAUCGAGUGAAUCGUGGUGAAGGAACUCGGCAAAAUGCCCCCGUAACUUUGGGAUAAGGGGGACCUGAGCUGUCGUGCACCCGUGCGGUGUGGUGGCGGUGAGGGGCGCAGAGUCCAGGGGGAAACGAC
rnacentral:rRNA from 1 species